UUAAGUAGCAACUGAGAUCACGUUCUCAGACAAUUACACAAGCAGCCGGAUGUCACAAUCUCUUUUCAAAGCACUACACUUGUCAAGACAUUCAUGAACCCUAGGUUGUUUGAGCCGGUCUCAAAACCUAUGCCAUAACAUCCAGGCUCUUUGUUAUGUCGCUCUAAUAUGCAACAGUAUACCUCCUUGAUUACCACUUAGAUUAAUGAUGUGUUAUAUCAAUCGCAAAGGAUUAUGGGACACUCAAACGUCUGCCACCUGCCAAAAGUUUCCAUGAAAGAGAUCAGGGAGGUGAAUCGAACCGAGGACCUCUCUCACAAUAUGUAACUACGCUAACCAAUAUGCCACGUUUCCUGCCAUCAAUGAAAGUUGUAGCAAAUUAUUUCCAAUGGUUAUUUUCGCAAAGUUGAAGCUUCAGGAUCUAACUCAAAUUGGAUUGACGCUUAAACUUUGAAAGUGAAUCAAGUUUGCCAAAAUACAUACCCCAGUCUUGGU